UGCAAUCAAUUCCACAAGCAUUUUUUAACCCUCUCCCUCUACUGAAUGAUUUUAUAUUCAUAUAAAACACCUUCUGUUAAAACUAGUAACAAGAAAUUGACUUUCUCCUAAAUAUAAACUUAAACCAGCUUUGACCACCUACUGGUACUUAACGCAAGUGAUCAAACUAUAGUAACCCCCCCCGCGAACCCUAUAUUCCUUUAACGUUACCCUAACACCAGAAUAUUCUAGGAAAGAUUAAAAGGGAAGGAAGGAACUCGGCAAAUACUAGCCCCGCCUGUUUACCAAAAACAUCGCCUCCUGCUAACCCAUAGGAGGUCCAGCCUGCCCAGUGACAAAGUUCAACGGCCUCGGUACCCUAACCGCGCGAAGGUAGCAUAAUCACUUGUUCUUUAAAUAAGGACUUGUAUCAACGGCACCACGAGGGUUAGACUGUCUCCCCUCCCCAAUCAGUGAACCUGACCUCUUCGUGAAGAGGCGAAGAUGAUCAUAUAAGACGAGAAGACCCCAUGGAGCUUAAAACUAAGUAACACCCUCUUAUACGCAUACCCUAAAAAACAAGAAAACUGUUACCUAAUUUUUGGCUGGGGCAUCCGAGGAGUAAAGCACAGCCUCCUUGACGAACCAUCUUAGAAUUACUAUUCCAAGAAACAGUAACCUGAAGUAACAUGACCCGAUAAUCGAUCAACGAACCAAGUUACCCUGGGGAUAACAGCGCAAUCCAUUUCAAGAGCUCAUAUCGACAAAUGGGUUUACGA
rnacentral:rRNA from 1 species